CUACUGUAUCAAAGGGGAAAAAUAAAAAAGUGUGGACCCUUCGAUCCUUGCUCUCGCACGCAAGCCUCCCCUCGUCUCCUCUCUUACAAUCUCUCUCUCCUCCCGCGACUCCUCGCCGCCACCGCCACCGCCACCGCCACCACGCAUGUCGGCCGAUUCCGGCAAGUCCCGGCGGAGGUUGACACACCAACGACCUCCCCUGCCCCCACCCCUUCCUCCCAUCCGUCCUCCUCUCCUCGUCUCUCUCCUCUGCGUCUUCCUCCGGGGAGCCUUGCGCCUGCAUCACGAGAGGAGUCAAAGGGGGCCGGGCCAGCCGAUUUCCUCGCCGGAUCUGGAGCACAGGAGCGACGCCGACGAGUAACCGACCAGGUAGGAGCACUAGUCACUGGCGAAGAAAGCCUGGGAGGGACACGAAAGGAGCACUGGUCGGGGGGAGUCGUCCAGAUAUGGUCGAUGCCAAGAUAAUCACGGUGGAACUAGGCUAUAUUUCUUACAGUGAGGCAAGGGUGAUUCCAAUCCAACAACACACUGCUUUAAGGUGUCCAUCUUCUAUAGCUACACUAAAAAAGCAAUUGAUGGCAGCAGUCCAUCCACUUCCAUUACAACACAUCUUAUAUUUUGGCAAAAAAUAUUAAGAUGAGAGCGGAUAUGGAUGUUUUGGUUUCGCAUAAAAGACGGAAAGAUCUUACAGUACAGUUUUAAAAAUUCUAUAUUAAUGAAUGGGUAUUGUGCUUGUAUGGGUAGCAUCAUACUGUAUUUACAUUGUUUUCACAUAAUCACAUUGUAUUCAAACAAUCUUGUGAUAUGUGUCAUUGUCAUCCUUUGUAGUAUUCUAAAUUGGCUGCUGAAGUACGGAAGUGAACUGUAUUAGUGAAGGAGAUGUAAAGAAUGAUAUAGAGAAAGUAGAUCAAAAUCACAGUUGUUAUUCGUUUUGCAUCUGUUUUGGAGGGCAGGUUGUUCUAAAUAGCACAAAACCCAUCGGAAUUGUGUGUCAAUGGUAUGUCAUUCUCAGGGUGAGCAUCUAAGUGGGCAAACUCAGCUCUUGUGGUCACUGUAUCAUCUCAUGAUUUGUACCAUUUCAAUCCCAUGGUUCUCUUGCGGCCAUAGAGUUUUAGAGAAAAUAUAAAAGAAGAGCAACUAUGAUGGGGGGAGGGAAUUUUGUUAUCCCUGCAGAGUGUGUCACUGAUUUUAUCAGCCAAAAAUUGUGAGUUACAACUCUCCCACCAUCAAGCUAUAGAUUGGGAGUCCGUCCAUCCAAACUCCAUGAGUUAUUCCCUCCUUCCUUACAUAUCUGAAGCUUUAGAACAAUCAUAAUGAUGAUUGAGAAAGAGAUGCCAGGCUUUCUUUCUAGUGAGGCCUUACUUCAUGGUAUAGAGUUCAUAUGAGAAGCAUGUGGAAUCAACGCCGUUACCGAGCUCAGAAUGGUGCCCUGAAAUGAUUUUGUUGGAGCAAAAAAUUGGUUUCUGAUGCAUUCAAACAUCAAUAAUCAUCAGCGGCAACAAAAUUUACAAGACCGGGCUAGUGGAUGGUGACUUAUCUCCAUACUUGAUCUUUCUAUUUGACAUUGCGUAACAAGCAUCAGAAGAACAUUCUUGACACCUGCAAGAGGGACGUGGUCUACAUCGAGGAGUACUACGAUGGUGAGCCAAUGAUGGCGCCAACGAACAGCUUCUCAAGGAGGCGAUGAUGAAGGCGAGCGUGAUAACCCACAAGUAUAGGGGAUCACAACAGUUUUCGAGGGUAGAGUAUUCAACCCAAAUUUAUUGAUUCGACACAAGGGGAGCCAAAGA